rnacentral:rRNA from 1 species
AUUGAACGCUGGCGGCAGGCCUAACACAUGCAAGUCGAACGAGUGGCGGACGGGUGAGUAAUGUCUGGGAAACUGCCUGAGGGAGGGGGAUAACUACUGGAAACGGUAGCUAAUAACGCAUACCAUUGGAUGUGCCCAGAGGGGAUUAGCUAGUAGGAGGGGUAAAGGCUCACCUAGGCGACGAUCCCUAGCUGGUCUGAGAGGAUGACGAGCCACACUGGAACGGAGUCACGGUCCAGACUCCUACGGGAGGCAGCAGUUGGGAAUAUUGCACAAUGGGCGCAAGCCUGACGCAGCCAUGCCGCGUGUCUGAAGAAGGCCUUCGAGUUGUAAAGUACUUUCAGCGGGGAGGCGUUACCCGCAGAAGAAGCACCGGCUAACUCCGUGCCAGCAGCCGCGGUAAUUC